GUCUGUCUGCCUGUCCUCUUCUUUUAUGGUUUGGCCGGAUCCUUUGUUAAAGAUUUUCCAGCUCAGGGGCGGGGCUGGCUGGGAGCUUCUUCAUCUCCGCAGUUCCUGUCAUCCCUCCCAGCACCCCCAACAGCUUCCUCCCAGCCCACUGACCUUUCACCAACAAAUGACAGCUAUGAUCUGCUCCGUGAGCCCUGUCCCAGGAUAAACGUGUACCCGGACACCCAGCCGAGGGGAAGGUUUUCAAGAGUGGUGAGAGAAGAAAAUCCUGGAUGCCUGGAUGACUCAUUAGCACCACCUCCAACCCAGCUUAAGCUCACCUCCUUUGGUGUCUGACAGAAGAAAGAGGAAAACGCCUUCCUUCUCUGUCCUUUGGGGACAGACUUGGGGGGAUCCCACAGACCGUGCGCCCCACUUUCAUUUUCCAGGCCUUGAUGGAGACUUCUAGAGGCACCAGCCCCCAAAACAAUCGGGCCAUGAGCAGUACAAAACAAAAUCAACACUAAGCCAACAAAAUGAGGACUUGGAGGCACCAGGAGGUUGUCUGACUUGCCCAGCAUAAGAUCUGGAAUUUGAACUUCUUGAGUUCAGGUUCAUAACCACUGCACUCCACUACCUGAAAUUCCAUUCUUGGCUAUCUGUCCUUUUCUGGAAUGCCAACAUCAUGGAGGAAAGCCUUGGAACACCAGCAACGCAGUGUGAAGGCACACAGGCCCAGCGUGGAUGCGUUCAGGCCGUACUGGAACCUGCUGAGUCUGAAUCUUGAGUAAAAGCUGGGGAAGAAUGGAAGAGCUCCGGGUGGCUCAGAAGGGCCAUUCUCCUUGUGGGGUCUCCAACAUUGAAGAUGGUGCCUGGGCAGUCCCUGUGCUGGGGACUGGAAUAUGAUGGUGAUCCAACAGGCAGGGCUCACCCCUGUGGGGCUGUGAGUGAGGCGGGGUGUGCGGCAAUAAGGCAAUGCCCAUGGCUGCCUAGAAAUGGGCCAAGCUUGCUGUCUGGGGUAUAUCUGGGGUCUGUGAUUUGGAGGCUAUCCCUGUGGUAAGCCAAGGGUUGGAAGAGUUGCAGGAAAAGGACAAGUAAUGCCUUUCACCUGUCCCAUUCAUUCACCCCUGGGGAAAGGUGUACUAGCUGGCAGAAGUUGGGGGGGCGGGGGGGGGGCGGGGGGGGCCCGUGGUGGGGCAGAAUGCAGCCCUGGGCAGGGAGGGGUUGACUCCAGCCUGGCCAUCGGCUAGCUGGAGGGCUCCAGUGGCAGCCCUGGGCAGCCUCCAGUCAGAACCACCUCUGGCCUGCCCUCUCCUCUGCUCACUGCCCCAAGACCAGCCUUGAGUUCACACCCAGGCCUGCAUUCAGAUCCUCACAGAUGAAAGGGGCUGCGGGUGACUUUGAAACACCUCCCAGUGUUCAGACAAGGCUGGGGUUCCAAGUGUGAUGAAAGGUCAAGGGCAGUCUGCUCUUCCUGGGGUGCCAAGGCUAUGGAGAGGCCUUCGUGCUCAUUCGAGAUGACUUUCAAAUAAACCUCUGGCCAGAGGGGAUGGCCCCACUGUGCACCCUGCUUAGGACAAACAAAUAUAGCUACAAAAAGCUGAAAUACACACUCACCUGAGACCUGAUGAGUCUGCUUCCAGGCCUGUGCCCACCGGUACGGCAUUCUCAGAGGUGACACUGCCGGCCCCUGUGAGCACCCCCAAAGCACGUUCACAUCUGCAUUUGUAUACCACACACACAAGCACACACACACACACACACACACACACACACACACACACAGUUGAACCCUUAAAGACUAGCCAGCUUUCCAAAGCAGGCACCCACGGGCCAUAGAAAGAGUGUCACGUCAUUAUGGUCAUUAUCACGAGGUCAUCUCCUGUUGGGGUGGAGACACCAGGGAGAGAAAUUGCCACUACUACUUAGAUGGAGAGUGAUGCUUUCCUUUAUGCCUCACUUCCUCUCCACACUCACCCCACUCUCUGAAGGUCACUCCCACAGGGAGUGUGGCAGCUGGAGUGGUAAGGCGUGCAGGAGACAGAGGCUGGCUCUUAGCAGGAAAGGGUUAACCUAACUGGGCGUGAGUCUCCAAUAUCAGAGCCGAGCCUCCCUCCCACUCCCACAGACUUAAACACAUUACACACAGCUGCCCUCACGGGAGAGGAGGGCUGCGUGCCCAACACCAAAGCUCACAAGUGAUCACAGCACUGUCAUGGCUUUGCCUCUGAAAUCCCCAUCCGGCACAAGGCUGCAUCCUAACUAAGGGGACUGCUAGGGUGGGGAGGAAGGGGCAGGGCAGGGCAGGGGAGGGAGGAAUGGGAAGACGGGAGACAGGCGGGGUGUCUGGGGUGGACAAAACGACUGUGGGAAGCCAGGCCUCACCUCAGGCUUCAGGUGGUCCUGGGGUGUGGGCACAGGUUAAGGGGGACAUUUGAGCCCAGGCCUCCAGUCAUAGCUGACCCAGAGGGACACCCCCUAGGGGCUCCCUCUUCUGCAUACAUUCCUGUAGGACAAAGACUCCUUGUUUGUAACCUGUUUGGGGUCAGAUACCUCUUUGAGGAAUUUGUAAAAUCUAGGGAUCCCAUCCCAGGAAGAUAUUCCUACACAGUCUUCAGCUACUACCGCCCAGGCCCAUCUGUAGACACUUCCUAGGAUUCAUUACAAAACUUGCCCCAAUUGGUAAAGCAGUACUUCCCAGAGGUCCAGGAGAAUGCUUGCAACAAACGCAGGUUCCUAGGCCCAACCUCCACCUUACCGAAGCAGAAUCUCUGGAGGAUGAGUCUGGACAUAUUUUAUUUUAUUUUAUUUUAUUUUAUUU